CUGGGGUCUCACAUUCUCCUUGCCUUAAGCCCUGACGUCCUCGUCAGGCUGAGACUCACAAGUACGAGGCGAUGUAAGACUCGUCUCGCUAACCUAAACCGACCUUAUGGUGAGUUGCGCUCCACCCAUAACAGUCAACAGCAUGAGAGCCUCGCUCUCCCCGUUGUACAAUCUUUGCUCAACCGAGACUAAUCUCAUACUUCCAGCUGGUAAUUAGCUCUGAUUCCAACUGUGACGCCCCACUUUCCAAAGCGUCACCCAUCCUAGGAUUACUCUAGUCCUAGCACGCUUAACUCUCUUAACCUCUUAGACCUAACUACCGCCCAAAAUGCUAUAGCGGGGUUAAGAGGUUUUAGCCCUAUUAUAUCUUACAUAUAGGACUACUUAGGGUUUCACAUUCUCUCAUUCUUUAAGCCUUGAUGUCCUCGUCAAGCUCAGACUCACAAGUAUCAGUCAAUGUAAGAUUCUGUCUCUGAAGCCUAAACCAACUAUGUGGUGAGCUGCGCUUCACCCAGAAUAGUCAUCAGCAUAAGAGCCUCGCUCUCGCCGCUGUAUAACCUGGCUCAGCCGAGACUUAUCUCACAUUUUCGGCUGGUAAUUGGCUCUAAUACCAACUAUGACGCCCCACUUCCUAAGGGGUCACCCCUAAUCCUAGCACGCUUAACUCUCUUAACCUCUUGGGCUGCACCUACUGCCCAAAAUGCUAUAUCCGGGCUAAAAGGAGAAUGAAACUGUUUUAACGGGAGAAGAAACUAUAACGCCCCAAAAUUUGACUAUAAAUGUUUAAAAAGAUUUCAAAAUAAUUUUAGAGGAUGAUGGCCAGUUUUAUAUGAUUUUGAACUCAAAUUGAGUCAAAAUGAAUUGUUUGAGGACGAAAAUUUCAAAACAGUUGAGUCUAAUCUGCCAUUGCACAAAUAGCCAUUUUGGAAAAACUUUUAACUAGGUUAUUGACAUCAGAUUUGGGCAAAAUUGGUCUCAUUGGAAAGAUCGUUGAGUUAUCUUUCUAACGCAACGUGAAUCUCCUUAAACGGAUAUCGGACGAAAGAGUUAUUUCAAUUUUUCUGACAGUCGUCGAUGCAGUCCUGAGCUUUGAGCUAGUUUGGGACUUUACCAUUUGUUAUGGGCUGUUUGGUAAAUUUGCUAAUUAAAAUUAUAACAUAUCAACUUAGGUGGUUAACUAUUAGUCCAACCAUAAUUUUUUCCAAGAAAAUGUUGAGUAAAAUGACUGAAACUCUUUUAAAUGGGCUGGUUUGAAUGGGAGAAGAGAAAAACUGUUUUAUUCCUAUUCUCAUCUUCUUUUUCCUAUUUUCCCUUCCUCUCAAUACCCUAGUUCUUCUCUCUUUUAUUCAGCAAUGAGAAGAAGGAUUUCUCCUUCAAAUUGAAGGAAUUUAGAAGGAGACUUUUGGAGAAGGAAACCCAUUUUCAAGUUAAAACUCUAGCUAGAGAACAAAGUAAGUAGAUUUUCGAUUUUGUACUUUGUAAAUAUCAAAGAGUGAAUAUUUUACGUUGCAUGCAUGUUUUUCUAUUCUCUUUGAAGGUCCCAAUCUAUCUUUUAUGAAUUGACUAUAGUUUUUGAAGAUUUUAUGACACUAUAUUCAAAUAUUGAAGCCCUAAAUUAGGGGUUUAUGCCCUAUUACGAGAUUUCCUUGUAAUUUUAGGGUUGGGACCCUAAGAGCCCAAGAUGAGAUCUUGAUCGUUAACUUUUAGUUCUUUCAACUUGAAUUUGGAGGCCAAUAUAUAGUUAUAUGAAUUGCCUUUGUUUUUAAGAGUUUUUGAUGAGUUACUUGUGUUUUAUGAGGCUUCAAAAUUGGGAUUUUGAUCAACUAGGAGAUUAAACUUUUAUAGUUGAUUUUAAGAGUUUAAAAUACUUAAAUUGAGAUGUCAAUCUUGUUCAAAUGUAUUGGAAAUGAAUGUAUGAUUGAGCUAAGUUGUUUGAUCAAAUUUGAACUUAGUUUGUUAAUAUUUCGUCCAAUUUAUGCUAUUUUCAAGUUGGACUUUUCCGAUUAGUUUUCGGAGGGUAAAAACAUCUUGUUAAGGUGUCGUUUGUUAAAAUUAAGUAUUCCAAACCCUUCUAUAGGAUUUAAAUGAGUUAUUUUAAGGUUGUUAUCUAUUUUGAGAGAGUUAAGCAUGCUAGGACUAGAGUAGUCCUA
rnacentral:lncRNA from 1 species